GGAAGUGUUAUUCAUUGAUAGAACAUUCGUCUGGAAUGUGUAAGGCCUUGGGUUCCAUCCCUAACACUUACA
rnacentral:tRNA from 1 species